rnacentral:rRNA from 1 species
CCUACGGGAGGCAGCAGUGGGGAAUUUUGGACAAUGGGCGAAAGCCUGAUCCAGCAAUGCCGCGUGAGUGAAGAAGGCCUUCGGGUUGUAAAGCUCUUUUGUCAGGGAAGAAACGGUGAGAGCUAAUAUCUCUUGCUAAUGACGGUACCUGAAGAAUAAGCACCGGCUAACUACGUGCCAGCAGCCGCGGUAAUACGUAGGGUGCAAGCGUUAAUCGGAAUUACUGGGCGUAAAGCGUGCGCAGGCGGUUUUGUAAGUCUGAUGUGAAAUCCCCGGGCUCAACCUGGGAAUUGCAUUGGAGACUGCAAGGCUAGAAUCUGGCAGAGGGGGGUAGAAUUCCACGUGUAGCAGUGAAAUGCGUAGAUAUGUGGAGGAACACCGAUGGCGAAGGCAGCCCCCUGGGUCAAGAUUGACGCUCAUNCACGAAGACGUGGGAGGACGAACAGAGUAGUAUACCUACGUAGUACGACCGACCCGUAACCGUACUAGUCUACUACGUUGUUCGGUUCGUUA